CUAACUUCCUUGAAGAAUUUCGUCAGAAACGGCUCGUACUCCGGCAGAACUGCAAAUCCUGGUAAGUAAUUUAUAUCUAUCACAUAAUACCUUCCAUUAUUUCUAUCUCUUAUCAUGUCAAAAUUGAACAGCCUAAUCCCCAUCGCUUCCUUCAACCCUCUCGAUACCUCCCUCACUAUCUUCUCCGGCGGCAUUUCAAUCUCUUCCUCAUCCUCCUUCUUCGCCUCCCCGUUGCAUUUCUCACUCUUCUCCUCUGCUCUAGAUAUCUGCGAAAACUUCAUCGCGCCCUCCGUCUUCUUCUCUAGUUCUUCCUCUGUCUCCUCAACAUCCGGCAGCGAUUUCCGCUUAACACACAUCGAUUGAUCUCCUGCAACGUAGAUUUUGAACAUUACUCCGCCGUG
rnacentral:lncRNA from 1 species